GCAAGGGUCCUUUUGGCAGCAUUGCCACAAGGGCAUUAACCCUCGACUCCAGUGAAUUCUCAGUUGUGAAUCCUGAAACCUUCUGAGGCAGUGGCCGAGCCUGCAGAGAACCUCCAAGGAGAGAACAAAUCAAAGCUAGAGUAAUCAAGAAACGUAUGAAACUGUUGAACCUGCAGCUUGAGCAACCCAUCUUCAUUAGCAUGUACUGCACUGAGGAUUGAUGAUAGGUAGAAAGUUAUAUAUAUAAAGGGGUGGUGUGAAAUGGUCAGGUAUUGCAUGCAUGAAAGGUGGGCCGGCAAAAUGAUGCGCCAGUAAGUUUACCUUCUGAUGAUGAUGAUGAUCCUAAAG
rnacentral:misc_RNA from 1 species